GGAUGUGAGGAUGAUCUGGCUGUAGCAUCUGUCAUUUUAGUGAUUGCCAGGGUUGAUUUGGCUGAUACAACUGGUAAGGCAGCUGUCCCCUUCCUCCCUCACUACUUCUUGUGACUACUAUUCCUUCCAUUCCAUACGAUACACUAUUCUAAAAUACUACACAUAUUAUUGUAUUUUUAGGUAAGUUUUCCAUAAUGCAUUAAUAUAUUUAAUACCUUUUAAGGUUUUUA
rnacentral:snRNA from 1 species